AGCGAACGCUGGCGGCAGGCUUAACACAUGCAAGUCGAGCGGGCACUUCGGUGUCAGCGGCAGACGGGUGAGUAACACGUGGGAACGUACCCUUUGGUUCGGAAUAACGCUGGGAAACUAGCGCUAAUACCGGAUACGCCCUUUUGGGGAAAGGCUUGCUGCCGAAGGAUCGGCCCGCGUCUGAUUAGCUAGUUGGUGGGGUAAUGGCCUACCAAGGCGACGAUCAGUAGCUGGUCUGAGAGGAUGAUCAGCCACACUGGGACUGAGACACGGCCCAGACUCCUCCGGGAGGCAGCAGUGGGGAAUAUUGGACAAUGGGCGCAAGCCUGAUCCAGCCAUGCCGCGUGAGUGAUGAAGGCCUUAGGGUUGUAAAGCUCUUUUGUCCGGGACGAUAAUGACGGUACCGGAAGAAUAAGCCCCGGCUAACUUCGUG
rnacentral:rRNA from 1 species